rnacentral:lncRNA from 1 species
GGAGUCGGUAUUACAAAGCAUUCCUGAGACCUGUCAUAAGAUAUAUCUUAGGACAUGUCUUAUGAUCCUCUUAUGACUAUCUAUGGACAUAUCUUUAUUUGAUGAAUUAUAAUUGUGAGUGUCCACUUUGAAGGCAAUAGUAAAAUACUUUCAUUCUAGUUGACACUAAAAGACUUAAGAGGAUAGACAGAGUAGAUGUGUCUACAAAUAAAAUUGGGAAUUGAAACGGGGUAUGUGUCUAAAAGACAACAACCCGCCCAUGGAGCAGACAACAUCCAAAGGCCACAAAUAAAUGCUUUCAAAGUAGAGGAUAUAUAUUUAAAACAUCAAAAUGACAUUUGCCUCAUGCCAUGAUCUUAUAGUUUAUAAACAAAAAUUGAGUUAUAAAUUUACAUAAGUCAUGCUGAAGGCCAAAAAUGUUGAAGAGUAGAUCCAAAGAUAUUGAUAAUGAAGCGUGGUCCGAUGAAAACUAUUUCCUCUCUCUCUUGCUUUUACAUGGUAAGCAUAUCAGACAUUGUUUUAGUCUUUGCAUGCUAUAAAAUUGAGAGGGAGGAGUAUUUCCCAAAAUUAUUAGGAAUCGUUCUUAAACGUUUUUGGAAGAAUUAAUUACUAGUAUCUAAUGUAAUUGUCAUUGAGGAAUGCAAGCUUUUAGUAAAUAGUUUCACACUUAUUUAAGCCAUAAUGGGUAUAAAACAUACAAUUACACGAAAACACAUUUUGCCAACAUAAGUCAUGAAACAUAUAUUUCUGAAACUUUUUGAUCAUUGUCCUCUAAAGAAAAAGACAUGUUCUGGCC